UACGUAGGGCGCAAGCGUUGUCCGGAAUUAUUGGGCGUAAAGAGCUCGUAGGCGGCCUGUUACGUCUGCUGUGAAAUCCCGGGGCUUAACCCCGGGCGUGCAGUGGAUACGGGCAGGCUGGAGGCAGGCAGGGGAGAACGGAAUUCCCGGUGUAGCGGUGAAAUGCGCAGAUAUCGGGAGGAACACCAGUGGCGAAGGCGGCUACCUGGCACAUAACUGACGCUGAUACGCGAAAGCGUGGGGAGCGAACCGG
rnacentral:rRNA from 1 species